GUACAAGUUUAAAGGGCCAAUCAAGUCCCAAUAAAAAACAUUCAGAGACAUACUAAUGGGUUUAUAAGACAUAGAAGCCUUUCAAAGCCAAAUUGCACAAGUACAAAAUAACUUCAAAGAACUCCUACAAAAAGUGCACAGGUGGAUGAAUAAAUUGGUAAUAGACGUGCACAUACCUCAUUACAAGGCCAGCAACAGUACUAUUUCCAAAGAAGUUUCAAUAAUGAUCCUUCCGCAGGUUCACCUACGGAAA
rnacentral:misc_RNA from 1 species